CUUUAGCAGCUUAAUAACCUGCUCUGAGCCCUCUCUCCCUAGCUUCCGCUCUUAAGACGGGGAUCAAAGAGAGGUCAAACCCAAAAGAGAUCGCGUGGAAGCCCUGCCUGGGGUUGAAGCGUUAAAACUAAUCAGGCUAGUCUGGUAGUGGCGUGUCCGUCCGCAGGUGCCAGGCGAAUGUAAAGACAGACUAAGCAUGUAGUACCGAGGAUGUAGGAAUUUCGGACGCGGGUUCAACUCCCGCCAGCUCCACCA
rnacentral:tmRNA from 1 species